rnacentral:rRNA from 1 species
CUACGUAGGUGGCGAGCGUUAUCCGGAAUUAUUGGGCGUAAAGAGCAUGUAGGCGGCUUAAUAAGUCGAGCGUGAAAAUGCGGGGCUCAACCCCGUAUGGCGCUGGAAACUGUUAGGCUUGAGUGCAGGAGAGGAAAGGGGAAUUCCCAGGGUAGCGGUGAAAUGCGUAGAUAUUGGGAGGAACACCAGUGGCGAAGGCGCCUUUCUGGACUGUGUCUGACGCUGAGAUGCGAAAGCCAGGGUAGCGAACGGGAUUAGAUACCCCGGUAGUCCUGGCCGUAAACGAUGGGUACUAGGUGUAGGAGGUAUCGACCCCUUCUGUGCCGGAGUUAACGCAAUAAGUACCCCGCCUGGGGAGUACGGCCGCAAGGUUGAAACUCAAAUGAAUUGACGGGG